rnacentral:rRNA from 1 species
UACGUAGGGAGCAAGCGUUGUCCGGAAUCAUUAGGCGUAAAGCGCGCGUAGGCGGCCCUGUAAGUCCGUUGUGAAAGUCAAAGGCUCAACCUUUGAAAGCCGAUGGAUACUGCAGGGCUAGAGUCCGGAAGAGGCGAGUGGAAUUCCUGGUGUAGCGGUGGAAUGCGCAGAUAUCAGGAGGAACACCGGUGGCGAAGGCGGGUCUCUGGGCCGAAAUUGACGCUGAGGAGCGAAAGCGUGGGGAGCAAACAGG